AGAGUUUGAUCAUGGCUCAGGAUGAACGCUAGCGGCAGGCUUAAUACAUGCAAGUCGUGGGGCAGCACAGGUAGCAAUACUGGGUGGCGACCGGCAAACGGGUGCGGAACACGUACGCAACCUUCCUUCAAGCGGGGAAUAGCCCAGAGAAAUUUGGAUUAAUACCCCUUAAUAUAACGGUGUGGCAUCACAUUGUUAUU
rnacentral:rRNA from 1 species